rnacentral:rRNA from 1 species
CGUAUCACUUAAAGCGAUUCAGCGGGUUACGAUUGACGGAGCGAAGCGACGUCAAAGCGUAUACAAAGUCGAGUCGGUUUAAGGAUACGUUCGUUGGGUAGGGGAGCGUUCUGUAAGCCUGUGAAGGUGUGUCGUGAGGCAUGCUGGAGGUAUCAGAAGUGCGAAUGCUGACAUAAGUAACGAUAAAGCGGGUGAAAAGCCCGCUCGCCGGAAGACCAAGGGUUCCUGUCCAACGUUAAUCGGGGCAGGGUGAGUCGACCCCUAAGGCGAGGCCGAAAGGCGUAGUCGAUGGGAAACGGGUUAAUAUUCCCGUACUUGGUGUUACUGCGAAGGGGGGACGGAGAAGGCUAUGUUGGCCGGGCGACGGUUGUCCCGGUUUAAGCGUGUAGGUGUGUGUUCCAGGUAAAUCCGGUUCACUUUAACACUGAGGCGUGACGACGAGGCACUACGGUGCUGAAGCAACAAAUGCCCUGCUUCCAGGAAAAGCCUCUAAGCAUCAGGUAACAUCAAAUCGUACCCCAAACCGACACAGGUGGUCAGGUAGAGAAUACCAAGGCGCUUGAGAGAACUCGGGUGAAGGAACUAGGCAAAAUGGUGCCGUAACUUCGGGAGAAGGCACGCUGACACGUAGGUGAAGUGAUUUACUCAUGGAGCUGAAGUCAGUCGAAGAUACCAGCUGGCUGCAACUGUUUAUUAAAAACACAGCACUGUGCAAACACGAAAGUGGACGUAUACGGUGUGACGCCUGCCCGGUGCCGGAAGGUUAAUUGAUGGGGUCAGCGCAAGCGAAGCUCCUGAUCGAAGCCCCGGUAAACGGCGGCCGUAACUAUAACGGUCCUAAGGUAGCGAAAUUCCUUGUCGGGUAAGUUCCGACCUGCACGAAUGGCGUAAUGAUGGCCAGGCUGUCUCCACCCGAGACUCAGUGAAAUUGAACUCGCUGUGAAGAUGCAGUGUACCCGCGGCAAGACGGAAAGACCCCGUGAACCUUUACUAUAGCUUGACACUGAACAUUGAGCCUUGAUGUGUAGGAUAGGUGGGAGGCUUUGAAGUGUGGACGCCAGUCUGCAUGGAGCCGACCUUGAAAUACCACCCUUUAAUGUUUGAUGUUCUAACGUGGACCCGUAAUCCGGGUUGCGGACAGUGUCUGGUGGGUAGUUUGACUGGGGCGGUCUCCUCCUAAAGAGUAACGGAGGAGCACGAAGGUUGGCUAAUCCUGGUCGGACAUCAGGAGGUUAGUGCAAUGGCAUAAGCCAGCUUGACUGCGAGCGUGACGGCGCGAGCAGGUGCGAAAGCAGGUCAUAGUGAUCCGGUGGUUCUGAAUGGAAGGGCCAUCGCUCAACGGAUAAAAGGUACUCCGGGGAUAACAGGCUGAUACCGCCCAAGAGUUCAUAUCGACGGCGGUGUUUGGCACCUCGAUGUCGGCUCAUCACAUCCUGGGGCUGAAGUAGGUCCCAAGGGUAUGGCUGUUCGCCAUUUAAAGUGGUACGCGAGCUGGGUUUAGAACGUCGUGAGACAGUUCGGUCCCUAUCUGCCGUGGGCGCUGGAGAACUGAGGGGGGCUGCUCCUAGUACGAGAGGACCGGAGUGGACGCAUCACUGGUGUUCGGGUUGUCAUGCCAAUGGCACUGCCCGGUAGCUAAAUGCGGAAGAGAUAAGUGCUGAAAGCAUCUAAGCACGAAACUUGCCCCGAGAUGAGUUCUCCCUGAGACUUUAAGUCUCCUGAAGGAACGUUGAAGACGACGACGUUGAUAGGCCGGGUGUGUAAGCGCAGCGAUGCGUUGAGCUAACCGGUACUAAUGAACCGUGAGGCUUAACCUUACAAC